CCCGGGAAUUGUCAACAAAGGGGCGAGGGACGCGCCACUCUGCGGGCCCGUGGGCCCCACGCACCCCGGCCCGCUCCAGAGGGCGCGGGGAGCGCGCGGGGUACCCCCGCCAAGUCGAGCCCGGCCCGCCGGGGGACACCUCCGGCGCGCGCCCUCCCGCCAGUCCUGCGUCCCCGCUGGGCCCACCCACGUCCCGGCACGGUUUUCUGUUUUUUUCUGCGCGUUCGUCGCUGCAUCAGCUGGGAUUCCCAAAGGUCAGAAAGUAGCUAUCGAUUAAUCUAUUUGAACAGUUGCGGAGAGAAAUAAAAACGAAGUAAAAGAACAGGCAACUUAUAAAUGAGGAAGCGGCGGCCUUGGCUUAGAAUUGUUACCCGGCUUAGCAUAUGAAAAAGUCGGAAAUGCGGUGCCGCCCGGGCCGCUGCGGGAGAGCCGAGGCCUGAGCCACUAUUAGACGCCGCGGGCUGGGGCUGGGUCCCCUUGGCUGCCCAGACGCGCCUUUCCUCUCAGAGGGCAGGGACCCCGGGACGCGCGUGCAGAGCUCCUCGCAGCAGAGUCAGCGACUGUAGGAAAGAGCCUGGGCUCCCAGGGGGCGCGGCGAGGGGGCGUGGGGACCUCGCGCCGCCCCGAGAAAGCCACGGCCCAGCCCGCGCCCCCUCCCGCUCCGAGCUGCCCGGCUGUGAGGUCGGCUGGAGUGCGGAGUCCGUGUCACCCACAGGUUCGGGCCUGGGAGGCCGGGCUCGGAGGGACGAGGCCCAGAAGAGAGGCUGAGUGGAACGUUUCAGGGAGGCUCUGGGAAGCCGACCUAACUCUGAGAACUGCUGCUUGAUUCCCAACCUGUCCCACUGAGCACGCUCUUUCCCCCGCGCACCAACUAUCUCAGGUUGGCCUGCCGACUCCAAACACGUCUAGACGGCCUCCCGCAAAACCCAUUCGAGCUUCGAGCCGGCCUCCCACCUUCUCCGCUGCAGAGGUAGCCAUUGCCACUGGCCGAACACCAAGUCCAAGCAAGGUCGGACGGAAAAGGAAAAGCUGCCGAAAUUGGCACAUUUCGAAACUCUUUUAGUCUAGUUUGGGGUGCCCGACCCCUGUCAGGCGCGGCCCGCUUGGUCCUGGGCUAGGCCCGCGUGGAUGUUUUCAAGCGUAUGCGUUCGAGGGUAGCGGCUCGGGUGGCCACGCCGGUCACUUUGAGGCCGUCCCCAGACACACCGCGCCUGGGUCCCUGAGGCCCGGUCUGAGCACGCAGUCCCUGGAGAGGGGUUGGCGAACAACGCCCAGCUGCCGGUUCCAUUUGUUGCGCUUUUCUCCUUCGACACAAUAAA